rnacentral:rRNA from 1 species
ACGGCCUCACCCUCUCACCCCAUGUAGGCCAAUCACCCACGCCAUCUCCCUCCCUCAUAUCUCAAUCCGCCGCCGCCCCAACCCUAGCCCAACCCAAUCCGCCGCCGUCCUCUUCUCCAGUCGCACUGGCGACCUCCAACCUCAUCGCCGGCAGCCCCUCCCCUCUCCUCCUAGAUCCACUCGGGCUACUCAUGUCGUGGCCAUCCUCUCUCUCCUCUCUCUCCACCGCACACCACUCCUCUCUCUCCCCCAUGCAGCGAACCCUAGCGCUCCCCGAUCCAGAUCCCUCCCCUCCCCUCGCCGCCAUCCACCGCCGCUCGCCGCCGGCCUCGACCCCCUCCCUCCCCUGCCCUCCAAACACUGUCGCCUGCCAGAUCCACUGCAUCCCCCACCCCGGCCUCUCUCUCCCGUACUGCACGCCGCCGCCACACACGGCAUCGCGCAACAAGGGGCUCGCAUCGCUCCGACCAGAUCCGAUUGGCGCCUCCCUGGCCUCGGAUCAGGCCUGCACGACCCGGGUGCCACCACCGGGAGGCGUGGAUUCAUGCGUGCUCCGGUUGCGGGUUCUGACCAUCCUCGGCGUCAUGUCCUCAAGGUGCACGAGAGACCUCGUCUCCACUCCAAGGCCAUUCGUGCUGGCGUAGAUUGGCGUGCUCGCACGCGUUGGAUGGACGGAGGGGACACUGACCUCCUCCGCCGGGUCUCCCAAGAGGCCGCGCAUCCUGCCGCGACCACCUCUACUGCGCGACGGUGGUGGCCGACCUCCAAUGCGACCGCUGCAUCGCCAGUAACCUCUUCGCAAUGGCAACCCAAGCAGGAACCUCGGCUACUCCUCGUUUAAGUCCCCAAGUGGCACGCCCCGAUGCUCCCCUCGCUUUGGGCACCCAAUGCCAGGCAGGCUGUGGAUGCCCCGGACCUCAAGGCCGGCCGUGCUACUCCAGCUGCUCUUGCCCCGGCCAUGCUCAACUUCGCUCCUGGUCAGUUGCCGCAGGUGAGACACUUGCCUCCAUGCUUGGGUGAUUCUACCUGCUCACUUAGUAUCAUACUUGAAUCUAUGCACGAAUUUCACAAGUUUGGAUGCAUCAUAGAACUUGUGGUGAACCUGUUACAGUGAUGUUCAUUGAUGACCUGCACUUGUACCAAUGUAUCAUGCUGCUAUUUGGCAAGUCAGUUUCACAUUGCAUGUGGAUCUUAAACUUAUACAGUAAGCUUAGUUAUUUGCAUAUGUAAAAUAUGUUGACAAAGUGUUAUGUUGGAUUACCGCCUCAUGUUGAUGGCAUUGUCUCUAAACAUUUAAUAAUGUUUCUUUUUGCUGUGACGGAAGACCAGAAGAGGCAUUGAGAUGUGCACCACAGUUUUAGUUGAUGUUGCACCAUGUUUUGGUGCUUGUGUAUCUGUUUUUGCUUGUAAGCACACUUGUAUGUGCAUGUGUAUCGUGCUUGUGUAUCUGUUUUUGCUUGUUUAAGUUGAUGUUGGACGUGCGGACUUGUAUGUGCUGUUGUGUGUAUUUGGCUAAAUGAUUCUAAAUUUAAUCAUUUAAUCAAGAGAAUUAUUGAGUGUUUGCUGUUCAAAUGUGUAAACUGGAAAUCUGUGAAUAAAAAGACC